GAUCGCUCAAGGGUGAAUUGUGACUGAAUUAUUGAGCUGCAAACAAUAUUAAGCGGUUAUUUAUAAAUCGAGGUUAAUCUAAAUCAGUCUCGACUCGCCUUAAAAGUCGUCUGCAACGUGGAACGUGCCUCCAACAAUUCAUUGACACCGCUGUGACUGAUAUCUCGUACAGUGGAGACACUUGAGCCUCUGCGUCAUCCACGUCAGCAAUAACUCAUCACUCCUACUCCAGAAUGCCAAAGAGAAAGAGGGCCCCAACUUUUGAUGACAUUGCCUCAGUUGUUGAAAGGCUAGGCCUCUCACCAGAGGAAGUUACAGCAGCGAGCGACCAUCAAGAAAAUGGAUUAUUUUCUGUGAUGGUCAUUGAACUGGAAAGGUCUAACACCCUCAGCUAUCGCCGUCAACUAUACGACAUGUGGAGUAAGGGAAGGAUGGCCAAUGCACAACCCCACUCCAUCUCCCAGAUUUCCCAUUCACUAUCCCCAGGUCCCCUCAAUCACUACCCCAGCAAGUAUACACCACGCGGCUGCUACCUUUAACACCAGCACAAGCAGCUGAAAUGUUUGAUCCCGCUAAGGUAUCCCACCUUCCACCACUCCAACCCAAGCCUGGAUACAUUUUUCUGUUUGCAGGUAGUUCCUCGUCAUGUGAGGACUGGAAGGCGGACCAAAAAAGAUGGAUUCAGAAGGGAUCUCACAGCCUUCCUCGCCGUUCACCAAAACUAAGGGUGCGGUACUAUGCAGGAAAGGAAGCACCAGGGUGCCAAAAAAGGGAGUAUGAGUUGCUUCACCAGCCUGAAACUCCUGUGCUAAUUCACUACUUUGGUGAAGAGGCACACCAAUGUCCCCAACCCACGGUAACAGCCAACGGCCGCAAGCAAGGGAUUUAAUCCGAUCAGCUACCUUAAUUAUAGAUGAAAUGUCCCGACGAAAGACUGAAACACCUAGCAAAGUAUACUCUGAUAUGACCAAUAACCCAACACCACCCCCAAAUGCAUCAUUCAUGCCAGUUUACCGACCUCGCAACUUGGCACAAGUGAAGAACACAAUUCGUCGAGCAAGGGACAUCACUGUUUUGGACCGGGACGAGUUGGUGGCAACACAUAUGAUGGGUGACAUUCUCCCUGGAUUUGUCACCCAUAUGGAGACUGAACCUGCAACACUUCUGGUAGUGGCAGCACCAGAAAUGGUUGAAGAGGCCAAGGCAGUUAUUAAAAGCAAACACCAAGGAGCACACAUUUUUCACUGACACAGCGUUUGACCUCGGCAAUUUUUGUUUCACCCCUUGUUUUCAGUAAUGUAGCAUUUCAAGAGGUACCCGUCCUUCCCCUGGCAUUCCUCAUUCACACCACCCGGCACAUGGAAAACCACGAGUUCUUUCGCAACAUCCUUUCAUUCAUUCCCCAACUAUCAACUUCAAUCUUCUGCACAGACCAUGAGGUGGCUAUUGAGGGAACAAUCCAGUCUGUGCUGCCGCAAGCCAGGAUAGUCAAUUGCUGGAACCACAUCUCGAACAAUGUGACGCAGAAGAUGGGGUCAGAGGGUGCCGACGGUGUGGCCCGACUACCAGCAGGCCAUCAAAGAGCUCUUGGCCACGAAAUCAAGGAGUGACUACGAAUGCACACUGGAGAGUGUGUGCCUCCACUGGAGCCCUGAUUUCGAGGCUUAUUUCCAUCAGUUGCUCUCUGACGCCAUGGACAAGGGUGCACAAUAUGUGCUCAACAGCUUGGGCAUCCAGUCAGAUGAAAUUCCCAACAACUGCUCAGAGAGCUACAAUGCUGUCCUCAAGGCAUUGGUUUGAUGGAAGGUCAGAGUAGACAGUGGUUUAUCUACUCUACCAACUCCAAACCAAAGCCUUGAGGGAGGUGCUGCGGGGCUACUGUAACCUAGGGAAUUUCUACCUGACCCCAGAGUGCCAUGAGCAAUUUUCCAGGUGAAUGCUCACCACCAGUUUCCCCUACCACAUGUCAGAGGAAGACAUGGUGUAUUUUGCUGAAGGCAUCCAGUCCUGUGUGGCACAAGGAAGAGGUUGUCAUGGAAGAAAUCGGAGUGGCAGCCUUAGCCCGGAUGAUUUUGGCGAAAGGACGUAUCCUCCCGGUGACAAGCACCAAAUCGUUCCUCUACCAGGGCUUCUCAGACAAGCAGCAUGUUACUCUGUUGCCAAUGGAGAUGUGCUCCUGCUCUGCAUUUGACAGUUCCCAGAGGUGUGUCCGCUGACUGGCAGCUGUACUGGCCAUUGGCGGAAGUGUACCGCCCUAUGCCAAUAAAGCUGAGGACAGGGCAUCUGGCUGCAAAACGCUCUGGCCAUAAGUGUGCCACCAAGGAGCAUGUCCAGAUGGGAGCCAAACACCAGGAAGAAGAAUCGACCGUUCAUCAACAGGUGAAGCAAGUGUGGGCAAUGUCGUCGGCUGGAGUGGACAGGGCAACUGCAAUAAUUUUGUUGGGAGGGAUCCUUUGCCAUCCUGCACCUCCAUGACGUCCUUACGUUGAAGCCCAAUGAGUGGCUUUAGUGGGGAGGUAAUUGACUUCUAAUUCCAACUGAAGAGGAUUGACCUUCAAGUGGAGGGGGAUGAUUUAUUGUGGAUCACUUUGUGGCAGGGAUUAUCCUGCAUGGGGAUAAGGUGGCUGGCGAUGCGCAAGAACACCUUGUCAAAGAGCAGUCUGGAGCAGCACAGUUGCUGGAUUGGAGUUUGCAACGUGGGAAAUUACCACUGGAUACUCUUGGAUGGCAAUUGCAGGACCCACUCUGCCAUUGUCCUGGACCCUACUGGUUCCCCUAACGUGGAGAGCCAUAUGUGUGAGAACCUGGUGAAGCACAUCUG